rnacentral:rRNA from 1 species
UACGAAGGGGGCUAGCGUUGCCCGGAAUUACUGGGCGUAAAGCGCACGUAGGCGGUUUCUUAAGUCGGGGGUGAAAUCCUGGAGCUCAACUCCAGAACUGCCUUUGAUACUGAAGAUCUUGAGUUCGGGAGAGGUGAGUGGAACUGCGAGUGUAGAGGUGAAAUUCGUAGAUAUUCGCAAGAACACCAGUGGCGAAGGCGGCUCACUGGCCCGAUACUGACGCUGAGGCACGAAAGCGUGGGGAGCAAACAGG